rnacentral:rRNA from 1 species
UGGUGGAGUGAUUUGUCUGGUUAAUCCCGUUAACGAACGAGACCUUAACCUGCUAAAUAGCUACGCGUAGCUUCGGUUACGUGGGCAACUUCUUAGAGGGACGUUGCGUGUCUAACGCAAGGCAGUUUGAGGCAAUAACA